UCUGGGAUAGCUCAGUUGGCAGAGCACGAGACUCUUAAUCUCAGGGUCUGGGUUCGAGCCCCGCAUUGGGCAAAA